CAUUAGAUAGCUGAAAGCCAGCUUUGGUCUCUUAAACCACGUUAUAGUAAAUUAGCGAUUACUUCUAAUGA
rnacentral:tRNA from 1 species